rnacentral:misc_RNA from 1 species
ACAUUCCAAGCCUUUUGAUCCAAAGUUCUGGAUCAAAUGUUUGAAAUAAUUCUCCAAGGAACUGACAUAUAUUGCAACUACAACACCAUGUUACUUCAGACUUCACUAGAUUAGGCUAUCAAUUGCAUUCAGAAGUCUCACAGUGUCUAAAGCUAUGUUUAUUUUGUGGGAAACAACUUUCUUGCAGAAAAUAUUUUCUGGCAUUUUGAAUACACUGGAAAAAAUUAUUUUUCUUUCAAUAAAUAAUACUAUUUUUGGACCUACGAAGGCUUCAUGUUCUUCUGUUCAUAAUAAAUAGGAUAGAACAUGAUUUGAAAGAAGGUAAAUUGGGGUGUUGUUGGCAAUUGGCCACUAGCACCAGUAGUGGGAGAUAGCUGGAGAUGAUUAUUUGUGGAUUGAUGCAUAUUUGUUUAUAUAGUUUCCUUAUAAGCUAAUUUCCUUUUCAUGAAUUAUA